UUAAGCGACUAAGCGUACACGGUGGAUGCCCUGGCAGUCAGAGGCGAUGAAGGACGUGCUAAUCUGCGAUAAGCGUCGGUAAGGUGAUAUGAACCGUUAUAACCGGCGAUUUCCGAAUGGGGAAACCCAGUGUGUUUCGACACACUAUCAUUAACUGAAUCCAUAGGUUAAUGAGGCGAACCGGGGGAACUGAAACAUCUAAGUACCCCGAGGAAAAGAAAUCAACCGAGAUUCCCCCAGUAGCGGCGAGCGAACGGGGAGCAGCCCAGAGCCUGAAUCAGUAUGUGUGUUAGUGGAAGCGUCUGGAAAGGCGCGCGAUACAGGGUGACAGCCCCGUACACAAAAAUGCACAUAUUGUGAGCUCGAUGAGUAGGGCGGGACACGUGGUAUCCUGUCUGAAUAUGGGGGGACCAUCCUCCAAGGCUAAAUACUCCUGACUGACCGAUAGUGAACCAGUACCGUGAGGGAAAGGCGAAAAGAACCCCGGCGAGGGGAGUGAAAAAGAACCUGAAACCGUGUACGUACAAGCAGUGGGAGCACGCUUAGGCGUGUGACUGCGUACCUUUUGUAUAAUGGGUCAGCGACUUAUAUUCUGUAGCAAGGUUAACCGAAUAGGGGAGCCGAAGGGAAACCGAGUCUUAACUGGGCGUUAAGUUGCAGGGUAUAGACCCGAAACCCGGUGAUCUAGCCAUGGGCAGGUUGAAGGUUGGGUAACACUAACUGGAGGACCGAACCGACUAAUGUUGAAAAAUUAGCGGAUGACUUGUGGCUGGGGGUGAAAGGCCAAUCAAACCGGGAGAUAGCUGGUUCUCCCCGAAAGCUAUUUAGGUAGCGCCUCGUGAAUUCAUCUCCGGGGGUAGAGCACUGUUUCGGCAAGGGGGUCAUCCCGACUUACCAACCCGAUGCAAACUGCGAAUACCGGAGAAUGUUAUCACGGGAGACACACGGCGGGUGCUAACGUCCGUCGUGAAGAGGGAAACAACCCAGACCGCCAGCUAAGGUCCCAAAGUCAUGGUUAAGUGGGAAACGAUGUGGGAAGGCCCAGACAGCCAGGAUGUUGGCUUAGAAGCAGCCAUCAUUUAAAGAAAGCGUAAUAGCUCACUGGUCGAGUCGGCCUGCGCGGAAGAUGUAACGGGGCUAAACCAUGCACCGAAGCUGCGGCAGCGACGCUGAUGCGUUGUUGGGUAGGGGAGCGUUCUGUAAGCCUGCGAAGGUGUGCUGUGAGGCAUGCUGGAGGUAUCAGAAGUGCGAAUGCUGACAUAAGUAACGAUAAAGCGGGUGAAAAGCCCGCUCGCCGGAAGACCAAGGGUUCCUGUCCAACGUUAAUCGGGGCAGGGUGAGUCGACCCCUAAGGCGAGGCCGAAAGGCGUAGUCGAUGGGAAACAGGUUAAUAUUCCUGUACUUGGUGUUACUGCGAAGGGGGGACGGAGAAGGCUAUGUUGGCCGGGCGACGGUUGUCCCGGUUUAAGCGUGUAGGCUGGUUUUCCAGGCAAAUCCGGAAAAUCAAGGCUGAGGCGUGAUGACGAGGCACUACGGUGCUGAAGCAACAAAUGCCCUGCUUCCAGGAAAAGCCUCUAAGCAUCAGGUAACAUCAAAUCGUACCCCAAACCGACACAGGUGGUCAGGUAGAGAAUACCAAGGCGCUUGAGAGAACUCGGGUGAAGGAACUAGGCAAAAUGGUGCCGUAACUUCGGGAGAAGGCACGCUGAUAUGUAGGUGAAGCGACUUGCUCGUGGAGCUGAAAUCAGUCGAAGAUACCAGCUGGCUGCAACUGUUUAUUAAAAACACAGCACUGUGCAAACACGAAAGUGGACGUAUACGGUGUGACGCCUGCCCGGUGCCGGAAGGUUAAUUGAUGGGGUCAGCGCAAGCGAAGCUCUUGAUCGAAGCCCCGGUAAACGGCGGCCGUAACUAUAACGGUCCUAAGGUAGCGAAAUUCCUUGUCGGGUAAGUUCCGACCUGCACGAAUGGCGUAAUGAUGGCCAGGCUGUCUCCACCCGAGACUCAGUGAAAUUGAACUCGCUGUGAAGAUGCAGUGUACCCGCGGCAAGACGGAAAGACCCCGUGAACCUUUACUAUAGCUUGACACUGAACAUUGAGCCUUGAUGUGUAGGAUAGGUGGGAGGCUUUGAAGUGUGGACGCCAGUCUGCAUGGAGCCGACCUUGAAAUACCACCCUUUAAUGUUUGAUGUUCUAACGUUGACCCGUAAUCCGGGUUGCGGACAGUGUCUGGUGGGUAGUUUGACUGGGGCGGUCUCCUCCUAAAGAGUAACGGAGGAGCACGAAGGUUGGCUAAUCCUGGUCGGACAUCAGGAGGUUAGUGCAAUGGCAUAAGCCAGCUUGACUGCGAGCGUGACGGCGCGAGCAGGUGCGAAAGCAGGUCAUAGUGAUCCGGUGGUUCUGAAUGGAAGGGCCAUCGCUCAACGGAUAAAAGGUACUCCGGGGAUAACAGGCUGAUACCGCCCAAGAGUUCAUAUCGACGGCGGUGUUUGGCACCUCGAUGUCGGCUCAUCACAUCCUGGGGCUGAAGUAGGUCCCAAGGGUAUGGCUGUUCGCCAUUUAAAGUGGUACGCGAGCUGGGUUUAGAACGUCGUGAGACAGUUCGGUCCCUAUCUGCCGUGGGCGCUGGAGAACUGAGGGGGGCUGCUCCUAGUACGAGAGGACCGGAGUGGACGCAUCACUGGUGUUCGGGUUGUCAUGCCAAUGGCACUGCCCGGUAGCUAAAUGCGGAAGAGAUAAGUGCUGAAAGCAUCUAAGCACGAAACUUGCCCCGAGAUGAGUUCUCCCUGACUCCUUGAGAGUCCUGAAGGAACGUUGAAGACGACGACGUUGAUAGGCCGGGUGUGUAAGCGCAGCGAUGCGUUGAGCUAACCGGUACUAAUGAACCGUGAGGCUUAACCU
rnacentral:rRNA from 1 species